CUCAGCAAGACGGGCACUGCUG
rnacentral:misc_RNA from 1 species